rnacentral:rRNA from 1 species
UCCGGGAGAGGGACGUGGAAUUUCCCCGGUGUAGUGGGUGGAAUGCGUAGAUAUUCGGGGAGGAACCACCAGUGGCGAAGGGCGGCGUCCUUGGCCCGUACCCUGACGUUAAGGACGCGAAAGCCGUGGGUAGCCGAACGGGAUUAGAUUACCCCGGUAGUCCCACCGCUGUAAACCGGUGGAUACUAGGGUGGUUGGGUGGGCUAUCCGUCAUCCAGUGCCGUAGUUAACCGCGUUAAGUAUCCCCGCCUGGGGACUACGGCCGCAAGGCUAAAACUCAAAGGAAUUGACGGGGGCCCGCACAAGCCAGCGGAGGCGUGUGGUUUAAUUCGAGGCAACACGAAGAACCUUACCUGGGCUUGACAUGUACGUAGUAGUGAAGCGAAAGCGGAACGAUCCCUUCCGGGAAGCGUACACAGGUGCCUGCCAUGGCUGUCGUCAGCUCCGUGCCCGUGAGGUGUUCGGUUAAGUCCGGUAACGAGCGCAACCCUCCGCUGUUAGUUACCAUGUGUCUAACGGGACUGCCGGUUUAAUGCCGGAGGAAGGUGGGGAUGACGUCAAGUCAGCAUGGCCUCUAUGUCCAGGGCUACACAC